GUGGGGAAUAUUGGACAAUGGGGGGAACCCUGAUCCAGCCAUGCCGCGUGUGUGAAGAAGGCCUUUUGGUUGUAAAGCACUUUAAGCGAGGAGGAGGCUACCGAGAUUAAUACUCUUGGAUAGUGGACGUUCCUCGCAGAAUAAGCACCGGCUAACUCUGUGCCAGCAGCCGCGGUAAUACAGAGGGUGCAAGCGUUAAUCGGAUUUACUGGGCGUCAAGCGCGCGUAGGUGGCCAAUUAAGUCAAAUGUGAAAUCCCGGAGCUUAACGUGGGAAUUGCAUUCGAUACUGGUUGGCUAGAGUAUGGGAGAGGAUGGUAGAAUUCCAGGUGUAGCGGUGAAAUGCGUAGAGAUCUGGAGGAAUACCGAUGGCGAAGGCAGCCAUCUGGCCUAAUACUGACACUGAGGUGCGAAAGCAUGGGGAGCAAACAGGAUUAGAUACCCUAGUAGUCC
rnacentral:rRNA from 1 species